rnacentral:misc_RNA from 1 species
AGGAGGGCAUCGACCUCGGGGAAGAGCGGGACCCCCGCGACCACCCCGGGCGGAAGCUUGGAGGCGUCGGAAGGGGCGCGCAUGUGGCCGUUAGGGAGGGAGUCAGUGGGAUCGGCGGCGUCGGCAUCGUCCUCCCGGAAGGCGGGGAGGAGCUCGUUGACGAGGCCGCCGAAGAGGGCGUCGAAGGAGAAGUCGCCCUUGAAGUCGUCAAUGUCGAGGGAGAGAGAGAGGGAG